AACCCAUGGUGAGGGCACCUUCUCAAUAGAUCCUUAUACCUCUCACAUGCAUCGUAGAGUGUUUCUAAAUCUAUAUGUAGAAAAGAAGAGAUAUCAUUACGUAAUUU
rfam:Gossypium arboreum cultivar AKA8401 contig_459_5, whole genome shotgun sequence.